ACACGACUACAUUAGAUACCCCGGUAGUCCUAGCCGUAAACGAUACUCGCUAGGUGUCGGCCACGGUGCGACCGUUGUCGGUGCCGUAGGGAAGCCGUGAAGCGAGCCACCUGGGAAGUACGGCCACAAGGCUGAAACUUAAAGGAAUUGGCGGGGGAGCACAACAACGGGUGGAGCUUGCGGUUUAAUUGGAUUCAACGCCGGAAAUCUUACCGGGACCGACAGCAACAUGAAGGCCAAGCUGAAGACUUUGCCGGAUUAGCUG
rnacentral:rRNA from 1 species